rnacentral:tRNA from 1 species
AAGGUUUGAUAUCCAAAAAUAGACUUCUAAUCUCAUUUUUAAGCAGUGAAAUUCUGUUUAAACCUUU